rnacentral:rRNA from 1 species
CCUACGGGAGGCAGCAGUGGGGAAUAUUGCGCAAUGGGCGAAAGCCUGACGCAGCGACGCCGCGUGAGGGAUGAAGGUCUUCGGAUCGUAAACCUCUGUCAGCAGGGAAGAACGGUCACUGUGCUAAUCAGCAGUGAAUUGACGGUACCUGCAAAGGAAGCACCGGCUAACUCCGUGCCAGCAGCCGCGGUAAUACGGAGGGGGCGAGCGUUGAUCGGAAUUACUGGGCGUAAAGCGCUCGUAGGCGGUAUGUCAAGUCAAGGGUGAAAUCCCCGCGCUCAACGUGGGAACUGCCUUUGAAACUGGCAAACUGGAGUGUGUGAGAGGAGAGUGGAAUUCCAGGUGUAGGAGUGAAAUGCGUAGAUAUCUGGAGGAACAUCAGUGGCGAAGGCGACUAUCUGGCACAUAACUGACGCUGAGGAGCGAAAGCGUGGGUAGCAAACAGGAUUAGAUACCCUUGUAGUC